rnacentral:lncRNA from 1 species
AUGUCCCAGGCUGAAUUUGACAAAGCUGCUGAGGAGGUGAAGCACCUCAAGACUCAAGUCAACUAUAGUCCCUUCAAACAGCUGCUGUGGACGAUGUAAAUACAGGUUGGUCAGGGCUGUUGGACCUCAAAGCCAUGUGGGAUGAAUGGAACAAGUUGAAAGGCACUUCCAAGGAAAGCACCAUAAAGACCUAUGAGGAAAAGAUAGAAGAGCUAUACAAAAUAU